CGCUGUUCAGUGCCGCGAAACACAACAAUGGGGACACCAACAGGGAGCAAGGAGCAAACCGAGCUCCUGAUCAAGCAACGUGGGGAGAAUGACCACCUGUUCACGGGGGCCAAAAACUCCGCCACGGCGGGAUGGAGAGCAAUACUGGAAAAGAUUGGGCUGGAGGGGAAGGUCCAGCCCCACCAGGCCAAAAAAAAAUGGGACAA